AUGCUUUUUCAACAACAGUUUAUGUUGGAGCUGAAUUUUCUCAAGACUCACUACUCAAUCCAAAUUGCAAAAUUGAAGCAACAAAAUUUUCAGUCAUCAUCCCAGUCAGUGGACAAGGUAUUAUGCCACACAUCUUCAGAAAUGAAAACAUGAAAUGGCAGAGAACCACUGUGUUCUUUCAAGUAUUGCAUUUUACAUAAAGAGAUCAUCCAGAGUACCUCAUCUGCAUCUGUGACAUGCU
rnacentral:lncRNA from 1 species